rnacentral:rRNA from 1 species
AAUCAACGCUGGCGGCGUGCCUCAGACAUGCAAGUCGAACGCGAAAGUUCCCUUCGGGGAGCGAGUAGAGUGGCGUACGGGUGAGUAACACGUAGGUAAUCUACCUUUGGGUGGGGAAUAACAGCCGGAAACGGCUGCUAAUACCGCAUAAUGCAGCGGCUCGACAUCGAGACAGUUGUUAAAGCGGGGGAUCGCAAGACCUCGCGCCUAAAGAGGAGCCUGCGGCGGAUUAGCUAGUUGGUGAGGUAAUGGCUCACCAAGGCAUCGAUCCGUAGCCGGCCUGAGAGGGCGGUCGGCCACACUGACACUGACAUACGGGUCAGACUCCUACGGGAGGCAGCAGUCGGGAAUUUUGGG